UUGUUCGAAAUUCAAUUCCGCACGUUUCCACCGUUGGGAUUUGCGAGAUAAUAUUCGUGGAGGGAGAAAAAGGAAUCGUAUGAAGACAGUACAAGUGGAGGUUUCAAUCUCUUCUCCGUCUCUCUAACGUUUGAGAAUUCUAUCGGAGCAGUCGGAUGAAUAAUUGAAAGAAUUUCCGGGAACCGCUAGAGAUGUUGCUAUCGCUGGCUGAAGACGCGUGAGCCCGCUUAGAGGUAAGGGAUGAGUUUAUCGCAAUUGGGGAUUAGAAUGAACAUGUGUAGGGAUCCUUAGAGAACUAAAUUUGGAUUUAUUUUGGGAUGUUUAUUGAAUUAUAAUUUUCUCUUUAUGAUUAUAAAUAUAAUAUUAUUGUGUUCUAUGUACCAAUUGAUGUCCUAAUGAGAAUUGAUUGAUAAACUUGAGUGCUCUUGAUGUCUUUGUGUUUAACCCAUGAAUUUGAUUAAUUGAUUGUGAUAUAAUUGUGAGAAACUAUUUCAGGGAUUUUACACCCCAUGUUGUGAUGAAAUCUUUUGUAUAAAUUGUUAUGUUGAGGUUAUGAAAUGAUGAUUCAAACUGUGAGUAUGUGAUAAAUUGAACAUGUGACGGAUGAUGAAAUACAUGUGUAUUGAGAUGAGAUGUGUGUAUUGAGUUGUGAACUAUGAACUGUGCAAUCACACAAUUGUAAGACCCUUUAAGGGCGAGGAGUAUUGUGAUGGGAUCCACUGUGGGAAUCCGACGAGUUAAAAUGAUUUUGAAAACAAUUGAGUAGAUGUGUGUAUUGCAUAGUUCAUAGGUAAAGUGUACAUGAUUCAUGAGGUGUGAUAACAUGUUAAAUUGAGAUUAUACCAUUGUGAUUGGGAUUAAGUGUAUGUGAUCAAUUGAGUAUGUAUAUGAUUGAGAUAUAUAUGUGCAUCGAGUUGUGAACUAUAAAUUGUACAAUCACACGAUCAUAAGUCCCUUCAAGGGCGACGAGUUAAUGCUAAGUCCCUUUUAGGGCGACGAGUUGAUGUUAAGUCCCUUUUAGGGCGACGAGUUGAUGCUAAGUCCCUUUUUGGGCGACGAGUUAAUGUUAAGUCCCUUUAAGGGCGACGAGUUAAUGAUAAGACCCUUAAAGGGCGACGAGUUAAAAUUAUUUUGAGAACAAUUGAGGAGUCGUGUGUUUUGUACAGUUCAUAGAUAGAGUCUGUGUGCUAAAAUAAUUUUAGGGGUUGGACCUGAAUCAGGAGGGAGAGGCCCUGACGGACUCUUCGGAGUGUAGGCCUUGGGGGUCACCGGGUUUGAGUGCUCCUUUAAGCCUAUGUUGAUCCCAUAUGGUUGGAGCAUUCUCGCAAAACAUCGUGACCCUGACUGGUCUCCCUAUGAUCUUACUUAGUGAGAGUGACCUGAUAAACCCAUUGUGUGGUGUGUCUUGUUAUGUACUCCUAAGCGCCCCAGGGUGGUUUUUCACUGACAUGAUACCACAUUGCAUAUAGGCUUGAGUCUUAGCAUAACUGUCGCAUACGCUUGCUAAUUGUUUAUUAUGAAAUUGAUGUGUUAUUAUGUCUUGAUCGGAGUGUGUGAUUCCUGUGUAUAAUGAUUGAUGAUUGAAAAGUGUGAUUGAUGAAUGACAAAGUGAUGAAAUAAUGUGAGAUAUGCUAAGUAAAUUGUAUUUGGCUACUAUAUGUUGUGUUGUUUCUCUCUAGUAGUUAGCAAUGUGAUAACUCACUCCCGGUUUGCUGUUUGUGUUUGGAUCCUGUGAUGAUCUUGAACUUUGUGUUCGGGGGAGCAGAUGAAUAGGUGGAUGACUAUGAAGAACAUCAUGCUAGAGGACACG
rnacentral:lncRNA from 1 species